GAGAUAUGAUUUGAAAAUAUUUUUCCCAUUAUGGGUGGGUUGUCUUCUGGCAUUCUUGAUGGUGUCCUUUGAAGAACAAAGGUUUUAAAAUUUUGAUGAAGUCAAGUUUAUCUAUUUUUUUCACUUAUCACUUAUGACUUUGGUGUCACAUCUAAGACAUCAUUGCCUAAUCCAACAUCACAGAUUUACUUCUUUGCUUUCCUCUAAGAGUUUUAUAGUUUUAGUUCUUACAUUUAUGUCUAUGAUCAAUUUGGAGUUAAUUUUUGUGUAUGGUGCAAGGAAAAGGUCCAACUUUAUUGUUUGGCAUGUGAACAUCAAGUUGUCACUCAUUUUACCUUUUAAAAAUGGAGAUAUAAAAAAAACUAGAACAACUACAUUUUGGUGGGAAAUUUUUGAAUAUUAGUAUGAUUUGAACAGUAUUUAUUUCUGUGGCUUUGCUUAUACCCAAUCAAAUAUACCCAUUCAUCCAAUAAAUACAGAGCAUCUAUUUUGUGGCAGGUGUGUCUAAGCUGAUGGUGAUACAGCACCAUCAAGGACUUGCUAAAUAAAGCAAGUCCUUGCCCUCAUGUAGCUUACAUGCCAGUGACAAAAAUGGGCAUAAGUAAAUAAAUGUGUAAAUAUGUAAUACACAGCAGUAGUCAUAAGUAUUAUGAAGAAAAAGCAGAGUAAAAGGGUAGAGGUGAUAUGGGGCUGGGCAGAGGAUGCUAUUUGAUAUUGGAUGGGAAAAUCAGGAAAGGCCUCUAAAGUGGCUGCAUUUAUUUGGUACCUGAAUUAAAUAAGGGGACAAGCCAUGUAAAUAUCAGGAGGAAGAAUGUUUCAGGCAGAGGGAAGAACAGAUGCCAACAUCAUAGGGCAGGAAUGUGGUAGGGUUCUUCUGGGAAGAGUAAGCAAGGCAGUGAGGCUAGAGUGUGGUCCAUGAGGGGGUGAUGGGUAGAAAAUGAUGUUGAAGAGGUACUCAGAGACCACACCCAUGGGAAAACCAAGAGUUUUCUGAUUUUUCUGUCUGGCAAAGCAUUUUGGCUUACAAUAUUUGCACUGGCCUUGAACAAAAGUCAAUAGCAUUCUUUCUCCUUGAAAUUAGUAUCUGCCUCAAAACUUUUAGUAGGAAAAAAGAAUACAAAUAAAUAUAUGAACAUAAUCGCAUAGAUUUUGGGGAAAAAGAAAACCACCAAAAUAAUUCAACAGGAAAAAGUAAAGACUUUUCAGAGUCCUUCUGUUUGCGUAUGUGAUUUCUAUUAAUUAAACCUCCUUCUUUUUCUUUAAGGUUCGUGGCCAGGUCUUCUGGCUGCCCCCCAAAAUCUGCUCUCCCCGGCAACUUAGUACUAGGGAGCAGCUGCCCAGCCAGAGACCACACUUCCCCUAUUCUCUUGCAGUAGCUGGGGCCACAUGACCAGUUCUCACCAAUUGGAAUGUGAGCGGAAGUGAUUCCUACCGUUUCGGAGCGCUGGUCUACUCUUCCCUUUCUGCUAGCUGGAUGCAGAGGGUGACGAGGCUGUAUGAGGUGGUUUAGCUACAAAUUAGAAGCAGCCUGGAUCCCUGAAUCAGUAUGUGAAGAAGAGCUUCCCAAUGACCCAGAAAUGCUUGCCUUGGACUAUUAUAAAACCUACCAGAUCCAGCUGGAGUUCCCAGAAGAAUUCCAGAAGAAAUAUUUCAGGAGAUCCAUAUACUUAUUCUGAGACUGCUGGUGACUGAUAGGCUGUGUAACCUCAGAGAAGUUGCUGUGCUGCUCUGAGCAUCAGCUUCCUAUGAUCUGUAAAGAGAAAGAAACACUUCCAGCUCAAUAAAGGGCUGAUCCUGCUGUAACUGUA